rnacentral:rRNA from 1 species
UUUAACGAGAGUUUGAUCCUGGCUCAGGAUGAACGCUGGCGGCGUGCCUAACACAUGCAAGUCGAGCGAAGCACUUUACUUUGAUUCUUCGGAUGAAGAGUUUUGUGACUGAGCGGCGGACGGGUGAGUAACGCGUGGGUAACCUGCCUCAUACAGGGGGAUAACAGUUAGAAAUGACUGCUAAUACCGCAUAAGACCACGGUGUCGCAUGACACAGUGGUAAAAACUCCGGUGGUAUGAGAUGGACCCGCGUCUGAUUAGCUAGUUGGUAAGGUAACGGCUUACCAAGGCGACGAUCAGUAGCCGACCUGAGAGGGUGACCGGCCACAUUGGGACUGAGACACGGCCCAAACUCCUACGGGAGGCAGCAGUGGGGAAUAUUGCACAAUGGGGGAAACCCUGAUGCAGC